rnacentral:rRNA from 1 species
ACCUUACACACAGUGUUUUUUGUUAUUACAAGAACUUUUGCUUUGGUCUGGACUAGAAAUAGUUUGGGCCAGAGGUUUACUGAACUAAACUUCAAUAUUUAUAUUGAAUUGUUAUUUAUUUAAUUGUCAAUUUGUUGAUUAAAUUCAAAAAAUCUUCAAAACUUUCAACAACGGAUCUCUUGGUUCUCGCAUCGAUGAAGAACGCAGCGAAAUGCGAUAAGUAAUAUGAAUUGCAGAUUUUCGUGAAUCAUCGAAUCUUUGAACGCACAUUGCGCCCUCUGGUAUUCCAGAGGGCAUGCCUGUUUGAGCGUCAUUUCUCUCUCAAACCUUCGGGUUUGGUAUUGAGUGAUACUCUUAGUCGAACUAGGCGUUUGCUUGAAAUGUAUUGGCAUGAGUGGUACUGGAUAGUGCUAUAUGACUUUCAAUGUAUUAGGUUUAUCCAACUCGUUGAAUAGUUUAAUGGUAUAUUUCUCGGUAUUCUAGGCUCGGCCUUACAAUAUAACAAACAAGUUUGACCUCAAAUCAGGUAGGAUUACCCGCUGAACUUAAGCAUAU